rnacentral:tRNA from 1 species
UCCCUGGUGGCUCAAACGGUAAAGCGUCUGCCUACAGUGCAGGAGACUCGGGUUCAAUCCCUGGGUGGGGAA